rnacentral:rRNA from 1 species
CGGGUGAGUAACGCGUGGGUAACCUGCCUCAUACAGGGGGAUAACAGUUAGAAAUGGCUGCUAAUACCGCAUAAGCGCACAGAGCUGCAUGGCUCAGUGUGAAAAACUCCGGUGGUAUAAGAUGGACCCGCGUUGGAUUAGCUAGUUGGUGGGGUAACGGCCCACCAAAGCGACGAUCAGUAGCCGGCCUGAGAGGGUGAACGGCCACAUUGGGACUGAGACACGGCCCAA